AUUUAUUUCAUUAAGUACAUUAAUUUUUAACCUAUUAAUGUUCAAUUUAUCUUAUUAAUAUAUACGUCGUAUUUCUUUGAUAAAACAUUGCAGAAGUUUAAUAUGAUAUGCGAUUAUUAUUUACAUUGUUAUUAACUUGCAUUAUUUUAGAGAAUUUUAAUAAUGGAAUUAAUUUUGAAAAGUUAUAUAUUUUUAAAUCAAAGAAAAAUUCUUUAAUAAUAAAUCCAAAUAUUUUGAAAUCUUACGUAAUUUAUAAAUGUUAUGAAGCUUAACCUUACGUUUGUGAAAUUAGUAUACACAAUAAUGAAGAAGUAAGCUCUUUUUCCACUGAAUUGAAUUCCUUGCAAAUAAAUCGGGCAAAUAUUAAAGAGAAAAUUAUUCCACCUUUUUUUGUAUUGAAUAACAAACAAUGCAGAUAUGUCAAGUUUGGUCAAUUAGUACUAUGGUAUGAUGAAAAAUUUUACUAUAGUCCAUUCAAUUAUAAAACUUCAACAAUUCAUCAACGCAAAUUACUUAAUUAUUUAAAAAAAACACAUUUUGAAAAUAAUAUAAAUAAUGAACAAUUACAAAGAAAGAAACAAAAGAAAUUCUUGAGAUAUGUUAAAGAUGCUAAAAAAAAUGAUUCUAGUAAUGAAUCAUGGGAUGGGUGGGGUAAUUGGAGUUCAUGCAGUGUAACAUGCGGAAAUGGUCGUCAAGUUCGUUGGCGUCAUUGCGCAGCAGAACAUUGCACAAAAGGAUUAAAGAAAGCACAAAUAAAAACAUGUCGUUUAAAAGAAUGUGGAUCUAAAAACAUUCUUAACUGGCUUGGAAUUAAAACUAAAUAAUAAAUUUAAAAAAAGAAAAUACAUAAUGAAGA